rnacentral:rRNA from 1 species
AUUGAACGCUGGCGGCAGGCCUAACACAUGCAAGUCGAGCGGAGGAAGGGAGCUUGCUCCUGGAUUCAGCGGCGGACGGGUGAGUAAUGCCUAGGAAUCUGCCUGGUAGUGGGGGAUAACGUCCGGAAACGGGCGCUAAUACCGCAUACGUCCUGAGGGAGAAAGUGGGGGAUCUUCGGACCUCACGCUAUCAGAUGAGCCUAGGUCGGAUUAGCUAGUUGGUGGGGUAAAGGCCUACCAAGGCGACGAUCCGUAACUGGUCUGAGAGGAUGAUCAGUCACACUGGAACUGAGACACGGUCCAGACUCCUACGGGAGGCAGCAGUGGGGAAUAUUGGACAAUGGGCGAAAGCCUGAUCCAGCCAUGCCGCGUGUGUGAAGAAGGUCUUCGGAUUGUAAAGCACUUUAAGUUGGGAGGAAGGGCAGUAAGUUAAUACCUUGCUGUUUUGACGUUACCAACAGAAUAAGCACCGGCUAACUACGUG